CUGCUUUGGCAGCAUAUACACUAAAAUUGGAACGAUACAGAGAAGAUUAGCACGGCCCCUGCACAAGGAUGACAUGCAAAUUUGUGAAACAUUCUAUAUUUAA